rnacentral:rRNA from 1 species
CCUACGGGAGGCAGCAGUGAGGAAUAUUGGUCAAUGGACGAGAGUCUGAACCAGCCACGUAGCGUGAAGGAUGACUGCCCUAUGGGUUGUAAACUUCUUUUAUAUGGGAAUAAAAUGUUCCACGUGUGGGAUUUUGUAUGUACCAUAUGAAUAAGGAUCGGCUAACUCCGUGCCAGCAGCCGCGGUAAUACGGAGGAUCCGAGCGUUAUCCGGGUUUAUUGGGUUUAAAGGGAUCGUAGGUGGAUUGUUAAGUCAGUUGUGAAAGUUUGGGGCUCAACCGUAACAUUGCAGUGGAAACUGGCAGUCUUGAGUACAGUAGAGGUGAGUGGAAUUCGUGGUGUAGCGGUGAAAUGCUUAGAUAUCACGAAGAACUCCGAUGGCGAAGGCAGUUCACUGGACUGCAACUGACACUGAGGCUCGAAAGUGUGGGUAGCAAACAGGAUUAGAUACCCGGGUAGUC